GACGAACGCUGGCGGCGUGCCUAAUACAUGCAAGUAGAACGCACAGUUUAUACCGUAGCUUGCUACACCAUAGACUGCGAGUUGCGAACGGGUGAGUAACGCGUAGGUAACCUGCCUGGUAGCGGGGGAUAACUAUUGGAAACGAUAGCUAAUACCGCAUAAUAUUGAUUAUUGCAUGAUAAUUGAUUGAAAGAUGCUAUUGCAUCACUACCAGAUGGACCUGCGUUGUAUUAGCUAGUAGGUGAGGUAACGGCUCACCUAGGCGACGAUACAUAGCCGACCUGAGAGGGUGAUCGGCCACACUGGGACUGAGACACGGCCCAGACUCAUACGGGAGGCAGCAGUAGGGAAUCUUCGGCAAUGGACGAAAGUCUGACCGAGCAACGCCGCGUGAGUGAAGAAGGUUGUCGGAUCGUAAAGCUCUGUUGUAAGAGAAGAACGGGUGUGAGAGUGGAAAGUUCACACUGUGACGGUAUCUUACCAGAAAGGGACGGCUAACUACGUG
rnacentral:rRNA from 1 species